rnacentral:misc_RNA from 1 species
CGCACAUUGCGCCCCUUGGUAUUCCGAGGGGCAUGCCUGUUCGAGCGUCGUUUAAACAAUCAAGCCAGGCUUGGUGUUGGGUGCAGGUCCGGCAGGACCCUCCCGUAACCGGUUGGGCGGGACCGUCCGGCUUCAGGCGUAGCAAGACACUCGCUUCGGAGCCCCGGCGGCCCCUGCCCGGGAACCACAUUCAGAGUUUGACCUCGGAUCAGGUAGGGAUACCCGCUGAACUUAA